CUUUUAGCAGCCAAACAUACCUGCAGCUCCCUGCUAGAUGGAACUUAGAGGAAGGAGUGAAGAGCAUGGGGUGUUGAAUCCCCAGAAGAUUUUAAAAGGAAAUAAAGAUGGAAAUCAACAAAGAAAAA